rnacentral:rRNA from 1 species
GACGAACGCUGGCGGUGCGCCUUAUGCAUGCAAGUUGAGCGAAGCUUUUUGGUAGUUUACUACUAGAAAUGACUGAGCGGCGAACGGGUGAGUAACGCGUGAGCAAUCUACCUUAGUUACUGGGAUAGCCCGAGGAAACUCGGAUUAAUACCGGAUAUUCUUAUUUUUUCACAUGAAGUUUUAAGGAAAGGUCAGCCGAACUAAGAUGAGCUCGCGUUCUAUCAGCUAGUUGGUGGGGUAAAAGCCUACCAAGGCUACGACGGAUAGCUGGUCUGAGAGGACGAUCAGCCACACUGGGACUGAGACACGGCCCAGACUCCCACGGGAGGCUGCAGCAGGGAAUAUUGUGCAAUGAGCGAAAGCUUGACACAGCGACACCGCGUGUGGGAUGACGGUUCUAGGAUUGUAAACCACUUUCAGGAGGGAAGAAAAUGACGGUACCUCCACAAGAAGACCCGGCCAACUAUGUGCCAGCAGCCGCGGUAAUACAUAGGGGUCAAGCGUUGUCCGGAUUUAUUGGGCGUAAAGAGCUCGUAGGCGGUUCAACAAGUCGGUCGUAAAAGUUUAGGGCUCAACCCUAAAAUGUCGAUCGAUACUGUUGUGACUAGGAUACGGUAGAGGUGAAUGGAAUUCCGAGUGUAGCGGUGAAAUGCGUAGAUAUUCGGAGGAACACCAAUUGCGAAGGCAGUUCACUGGACCGUGAUCGACGCUGAGGAGCGAAAGCUAGGGGAGCAAACAGGAUUAGAUACCCUGGUAGUCCUAGCUGUAAACGAUGGAUACUAGAUGUAGGAACUGGAUUGACGGUUUCUGUAUCGUAGCUAACGCGUUAAGUAUCCCGCCUGGGGAGUACGGUCGCAAGACUAAAACUCAAAGGAAUUGACGGGACCCCGCACAAGCGGCGGAGCAUGCGGCUUAAUUCGAUGAUACCCGUAGAACCUUACCUGGACUUGACAUAUAGGGAAAAACUGGAGAAAUCCAGUGUGCGUAAGCGCCCUAUACAGGUGGUGCAUGGCUGUCGUCAGCUCGUGUCGUGAGAUGUUGGGUUAAGUCCCGCAACGAGCGCAACCCCUGUCCUAUGUUGCCAGCAAGUAAUGUUGGGGACUCAUAGGAGACUGCCGGUGAUAAACCGGAGGAAGGUGGGGACGACGUCAAGUCAUCAUGCCCCUUAUGUCCAGGGCUGCACGCAUGCUACAAUGGCAAGUACAACGAGUCGCAAUACCGCGAGGUGGAGCAAAUCUCUUAAAGCUUGUCUCAGUUCGGAUAGGAGUCUGCAACUCGACUCCUUGAAGUUGGAGUCGCUAGUAAUCGCAAAUCAGCAAAGUUGCGGUGAAUACGUUCUCGGGGUU